rnacentral:snoRNA from 1 species
GGUCGGUGAUGUCCAUUGUUCAAGACGGGACUGACAAGUGUUUGAUUACAAACGAACCUACUGAGACC